GACGAACGCUGGCGGCGUGCCUAAUACAUGCAAGUCGAGCGAAUGACGAGAAGCUUGCUUCUCUGAUUUAGCGGCGGACGGGUGAGUAACACGUGGGCAACCUGCCCUACAGAUCGGUAUAGCUCAGGGAAACCUGGGCUAAUACCGGAUAAUCCUUCGAAUCACAUGUUUUGAAGUUGAAAGGCGCUUCGGCGUCACUGUAGGAUGGGCCCGCGGUGCAUUAGCUAGUUGGUGGGGUAACGGCCUACCAAGGCAACGAUGCAUAGCCGACCUGAGAGGGUGAUCGGCCACAUUGGGACUGAGACACGGCCCAAACUCCUACGGGAGGCAGCAGUAGGGAAUCUUCCACAAUGGACGAAAGUCUGAUGGAGCAACGCCGCGUGAGUGAUGAAGGUUUUCGGAUCGUAAAACUCUGUUGUAGGGGAAGAACAAGUACGCUAGGAAAUGAACGUACCUUGACGGUACCUUAUUAGAAAGCCACGGCUAACUACGUGCCAGCAGCCGCAGUAA
rnacentral:rRNA from 1 species